rnacentral:tRNA from 1 species
GGGGCCGUAGCUCAGCUAGGUAGGUUUAAUCCCUGGAAAGAGCAACUGGCUUUUAACCAGAAGGUCCGGGGUCCGAAUCCCCGCGGCCCCG